rnacentral:tRNA from 1 species
UGUCCCGUGUUGUAGCGGUUAGCACUCAGGAAUCUGAAUCCUGCGGAAGGAGUUCAAAUCUCCCCGGGACCU